UGGUAAAGUUGCAUCUUGAGGGCCUGUAGGUUUAGUUCAGUCUGUCAAAGUCAGAGAGCCGUGUCUCUCUACAGUGAGAGGUUUUUGUACGGCGGCUCAAUGAGUUUGUAUCACUGUGGAACACGUUCGGUGGAGGAACCAGACUGGAUGUUGGAAGUGAUGCCCGUCCCACCCUGACGGUGCUGCCCCCCUCCAGUGAGGAGCUGCAGCAGGGGAAGGCCACGCUCAUGUGCCUGGCCAACAAGGGCUUCCCCUCAGAUUGGAGUCUGGCCUGGAAGGUGGACGGCAGCAGCAGCAGCAGCAGCUGGGAGGAGAGCAGGAGCCCCGGGGUGCUGGAGAAGGACGGCCGCUACAGCUGGAGCAGCACCCUGAGGCUCCCUGCAGACCAGUGGAGGAAGGUGGGCUCUGUGACCUGUGAGGCCACCCAGGGCUCUCAGACUCCGGUCUCAGAGACACUGAGGAGAGACCAGUGUUCCCAGUCCUGACCUGACUCACUGGGACUCUGCUACUGGUUUUACUCUGCUACUGCUCUCAGUCUGCACUCUGCAACACUGUCUCUCUCUUUCUGUCAUCAGAUCAUUUUAACAUUAUUCAACUUUAAGUAGUGACGUUUCAUUGUUGUAAUAAUGCUCAUGCUGUUAAUCCUGCAAGAAAAUAAAAACGUAAUUUCAAAUUAAAUCAUA